rnacentral:rRNA from 1 species
ACGCUCGACACCUACGGGAGGCAGCAGUGGGGAAUAUUGCACAAUGGGCGAAAGCCUGAUGCAGCAACGCCGCGUGAGCGAAGAAGGCCUUGGGUCGUAAAGCUCUGUCCUCAAGGAAGAUAAUGACGGUACUUGAGGAGGAAGCCCCGGCUAACUACGUGCCACAGCCGCGGUAAUCUGAGCGGGCUGGCGAAGGC